rnacentral:tRNA from 2 species
GGGCCUGUAGCUCAGAAGGAUAGAGCAGCGGUUUCCUAAACCGAAGGUCGGGGGUUCGAAUCCCUCCAGGCCUACCA